ACGCACGCUGGCGGCGUGCUUCACACAUGCCAGUCGAACGGAAAGGCCCUGCUUUUGUGGGGUGCUCGAGUGGCGAACGGGUGAGUAACACGUGAGUAACCUGCCCUUGACUUUGGGAUAACUUCAGGAAACUGGGGCUAAUACCGGAUAGGAGCUCCUGCUGCAUGGUGGGGGUUGGAAAGUUUCGGCGGUUGGGGAUGGACUCGCGGCUCAUCAGCUUGUUGGUGGGGUAGUGGCUUACCAAGGCUUUGACGGGUAGCCGGCCUGAGAGGGUGACCGGCCACAUUGGGACUGAGAUACGGCCCAGACUCCUACGGGAGGCAGCAGUGGGGAAUAUUGCACAAUGGGCGGAAGCCUGAUGCAGCAACGCCGCGUGCGGGAUGACGGCCUUCGGGUUGUAAACCGCUUUCGCCUGUGACGAAGCGUGAGUGACGGUAAUGGGUAAAGAAGCACCGGCUAACUACGUG
rnacentral:rRNA from 1 species